CUCAGGUUUCAUAACCAUAAAUUUUAAAUACUCUUCUAUCAACUAGCUGUUUACAAAGAAAAAGAAAUUUCCGAAACACGCCAAAACGUUUACGAAACAAAGCAGCAU
rnacentral:lncRNA from 1 species